rnacentral:rRNA from 1 species
GACGAGCCACACGAACGUUAUUCGGAAUUACUGGGCUUAAAGGGUGCGUAGGCUGCGCGGAAAGUUGGGUGUGAAAUCCCUCGGCUCAACCGAGGAACUGCGCCCAAAACCGCCGUGCUCGAGGAAGAUAGAGGUAAGCGGAACUUACGGUGGAGCGGUGAAAUGCGUUGAUAUCGUAAGGAACACCUGUGGCGAAAGCGGCUUACUGGGUCUUUUCUGACGCUGAUGCACGAAAGCUAGGGGAGCAAACGGG